UACGUAGGUGGCAAGCGUUGUCCGGAUUUAUUGGGUUUAAAGGGUGCGUAGGCGGUUUUGUAAGUCAGUGGUGAAAUACUCCAGCUUAACUGGAGGGGUGCCAAUGAUACUGCAGAACUGAGUACAGAUGAGGUAGGCGGGAAUUGACGGUGUAGCGGUGAAAAUGCAUAGAUAUCGUCAAGAACACCAAUUGCGAAGGCAGCUACUAUGGUAUGAUUGACGCGAGGCACGAAAAGCGUGGGGAUCAAAACAG
rnacentral:rRNA from 1 species